rnacentral:lncRNA from 10 species
CUGAAUCCUAGAUUAAAUACGUCAUAGAUCUCUGAUGGAUUCUCCUAGAUUGACACAGUCCUGAAUCACAUACAAAUCAUACUCAUUUUAGAAAGAGAGCAGUUGCACAGAGCAAGCAGAGCAAGAUCCUGUCUGAAAGAAGGAAAGAAAGAAAGAAAAAGAAAGAAAGAAAGAAAGAAAGAAAGAAAGAAAGAAAGAAAGAAAGAAAGAAAGAAAGAAAGAAAGAAACAUACAUAAGAAAGUAUGUAUGUAAUACCACUUUGGAAACCAGCAUUCACCUGAGAUGUCUAAUUACUAUAUGUAAAUGAUAUUUCUUAUGUAUAAAUCACUUUUCUUUGAAGACAUUCUUUAACAUUUUACCCUUGAAGGAUACUAUUAAAUCCAGAACAAGCUCCAUUAUCACUGAGAAUGAAUUUCACAAUACUUUUGGUUGGUGAUAUAACGACUGGUGUGUUUUUUCCAUCUUUUCCCUUGGUAUGUCUUCCUAUGCAAAAGAAGAUAUGGUGCUCUUUAAUUGGUUAGAGAUUUUAUCGCUUAUGGCACAGAAUAGAAUAUGCACAUAUAGGGCCAGGGAUGGGGACAGUGAAGGAAAAAAUUGGAUCAUUAAGCAUUUGUCAAACUGUUAAAGGAAUAGCCCGGAGAAAACAACCAAACUAAUUGUACAUAGCUACUAACUGCUAAAUUUCUUUCAAGAGAACCAGG